CCAAUAGCGUAUAUUAAAGUUGUUGCAGUUAAAAAGCUCGUAGUUGAAUUUCGGGAUCAGUAGGUCGGUCGUGCCACUGGUAUGCACUGGUCUCACUGGUUCCUCCUUCCUGAUGAACCGUAAUGCCAUUAAUUUGGUGUUGCGGGGAAACUGGACUGUUACUUUGAAAAAAUUAGAGUGUUUAAAGCAGGCUAACGCUUGAAUACAUUAGCAUGGAGUAAUGAAAUAGGACGUUCGAUCCUAUUUUGUUGGUUUCUAGGAUUGACGUAAUGAUUAAUAGGGAUAGUUGGGGGCAUUAGUAUUCAAUUGUCAGAGGUGAAAUUCUUGGAUUUAUUGAAGACUAACUACUGCGAAAGCAUUUGCCAAGGAUGUUUUCAUUAAUCAAGAACGAAAGUUAGGGGAUCGAAGACGAUCAGAUACCGUCGUAGUCUUAACCAUAAACUAUGCCGACUAGGGAUCGGAUGAUGUUAAUUUUUUAAUGACUCAUUCGGCGCCUUACG
rnacentral:rRNA from 1 species